rnacentral:rRNA from 1 species
UUUCAACCAAUAUUAUUUUUGGUGACUCAUAAUAACUUUACGGAUCACAAUUUAUUUUGUGACAUAUUUUUCAUUCAAGUUUCUGACCUAUCAGCUUUAGACGGUAGGGUAUUGGCCUACCGUGGCUAUGACGGGUAACGGGGAAUUAGGGUUCGAUUCCGGAGAGGGAGCCUGAGAAACGGCUACCACAUCUAAGGAAGGCAGCAGGCGCGCAAAUUACCCAAUCCUAAUACAGGGAGGUAGUGACAAGAAAUAACAAUACAGGACUUUACGGUUUUGUAAUUGGAAUGAGUUAAGUAUAAACCCCUUUACAAGUAUCAAUUGGAGGGCAAGUCUGGUGCCAGCAGCCGCGGUAAUUCCAGCUCCAAUAGCGUAUAUUAAAGUUGUUGCAGUUAAAAAGCUCGUAGUUGGAUUUCUGUUAAUACCUUAUAUAUAAUAUUUUUUAAAUAUUAAAUUGUAAGAUUAACAUAAUUCAUAUUUUUAAGACUGAAUUUUUAGUUUUGAUAAUAUGAAAUUUUACUUUGAGAAAAUUAGAGUGCUUAAAGCAGGCUUUUCGGUUGAAUACUCCAGCAUGGAAUAAUAAUAAAAGAUUUUUAUCUUUUAAUUAUUGGUUCUAAGAUAAAAAUAAUGAUUAAUAGGGACAGUUGGGGGCAUUUGUAUUUAACAGUCAGAGGUGAUAUUCUUAGAUUUGUUAAAGACAAACUAAUGCGAAAGCAUUUGCCAAGGAUGUUUUCAUUAAUCAAGAACGAGGGUUAGGGGUUCGAAGACGAUCAGAUACCGUCGUAGUCUUAACCAUAAACUAUGCCAACUAGACAUUAUUUUGCGGAG